AGAAACAAUGAACUCAAUCAAAAGAUUCUCAGUGUUUGGUCUUAUAGUCUAUCUGCUGGUGUUUCUGCCUCAGUUUCUCAUUUUAGGAGCUCUGUGGAUGUGGUUUUUCAUCAGCAUGAACAAAUUAAAAUCUAAAAACAGAAGUGAUGACAAACAUGAAGAGACUCAAGUGGUGCACAUGUCUGUGUGUAGAUCAGCUGAGCUGUUGGAGUGAUGUCACAACUCUCUCUCUGACAUCAUCACCUAUCAAAAAAUUUCUCAGCAGUGACAUUUUGAUGCAGUGAUGUCACAUACAGUAACAUGAUAAUGACUUGUGUCAGUGUAGGAUGAUACUUCAAUCUACUCGACUACAUCUUCACUAAAUCAGGCUGUUACUGAAUUCUAGACAAAAACUGCUAAUCUCUUACAUGGGUUUCAGUACUUAUUGCUUAGAAAAGUAGGAGGGGACUUCACAAUGCCUAAAUCUUGUUAUCAUUGCAGUUGUUAAAUUACAGUAUAACUAAUACUUAUUAUAGACUUUAUUUUCCUUGAAAAUAUUAAUUUUCUCUCUUUCACUUUUAUGUAAUCUGGUUUCUUUAACCGCUGAUAUUUAGUUCUCUCUCUGAUGAUGUCAUGAUUUCUUGUUACAAUGUUUUGUGUGGGAAAUGCGUGGCCUCAGUAUUGGUUACAUUAGACCACGUAUUUCCCAUGUCUCGUCACUUUUUACCUGCUCCCUUAACUGUUAUUAUUUUCACCUUUUUCGCUCAUUUGUUCUCUCUAUUUAAAGUACUUGAGCUCUUUGUUCUGUCUACAUUCGUUCUGAUUUGUUCCUGUCAAGAUAUAUCCAGUUAAAGAAUUAGUCCAUUUUCUAAAAAAAAAAUCUAGAUAAUUUACUCACCACCAUGUCAUCCAAAAUCUUGAUGUCUUUCUUUGUUCAGUUCAAUGGCGAAGCUACGGGUGGGCCUGGCCGGGCCUGGGCCCGCCCACUUUGAGUUGUGGCCCAUCCAAUCAGAAGGCAAUUUUCCAGACAAAUGUGUAAAUAAUUUAACAAAAAUAAAUAAUAGUACUACGAAUAGACGUCUUAUCACACUAUAAUUUCAUAUAUGUAAUAAAAUUAUAAAUAUAAUUAAAAUAUAAAAUAUAAGAGCAAGUUUGCAUGUUCAAGCAGUUUCGCAGUUUUCUUUUACCCUAUUGGUGCACACGCUUGUCAACAUGAAACGUUGAAUAUGAUUCGUCAGUCAUUGUUAGUUCCGCCUACGCGCGAUUGAACUGAAUUUGAAAAUAGCAAGUCGCAAAUCAUCGCGUUUAACAGCCUUUCCACGAUGACAUCUGCUGCUGUCUGUUUACUUUUGGAGACAGAGACUAUACAUCGCUCAUGAAAAUGUUGGAUUACUGAGGACAUCUUUUCAAACGUCGUCAAAAUGAAACGAGCACUUAUUACUUCGAUAAGACGUCAUGCUGUGUCAAAGACUGUUCUUCACCACAUACUGUAUAAAAAACAUAAUAACGUUACGCUCAUCGAUUAUAAAUGCUCGUCUGAGAAAUGUAUUUCUGCUUUUCUUUGCGCGAAGGGACAUAUUAUGAUCAAAGAUAUUGGACUUGUUAUUAUGAUCGAGACUUUCUCCGUCUUUAACCAGAAGCCCCGUCUCAGACUAAUACAGUAGGACAUCUAAAGGUGAGUUCAGACAUUUUCGUAAUUUUUAUAGUGGUGUCAUUACUAUUUACAGUUUAUAGUCAGGAGUAUUACUCCAGUCAACUAUUUAAGGGGGCAGACUCUGUGUUGUGUCAUAGGCUGUAUGAUUUACUGUUGUUGGAAUAAAAUGUACACUUAAAUGACAACACAUGCAAUUUUGUAUUGCGCCAUGUUGUUUGAUGGCCAUUUUCUCA